GAGCGGAAGCUUGAGCCUUUUGACGAGCGACUGUGCCAAACUUGGGAACCGUCGUAUUGGCACAGCGAGGAUGAUCAACAGAUACCCGAUAGGCAGCGAUGAGAGCUGUUCAUGGCACCGACACAGAGGACAGAUUGCAGUACAAGAUAGGAGCAUACUUCCUGCAAGCCCGGGCAAGCCAUAAUGAGUGGUUUCAAAUACAGCAACUGUACCACCACAACAGUGCAGCACAGGAGAGCCUAUCGUCAGUGCCGCGUCGAGAAAUUAAAUAAAAAAGCACUUACUCCUGGA